rnacentral:rRNA from 1 species
AGUCGAGCGGUAGAGAGAAGCUUGCUUCUCUUGAGAGCGGCGGACGGGUGAGUAAUGCCUAGGAAUCUGCCUGGUAGUGGGGGAUAACGUUCGGAAACGGACGCUAAUACCGCAUACGUCCUACGGGAGAAAGCAGGGACCUUCGGGCCUUGCGCUAUCAGAUGAGCCUAGGUCGCAUUAGCUAGUUGGUGGGGUAAUGGCUCACCAAGGCGACGAUCCGUAACUGGUCUGAGAGGAUGAUCAGUCACACUGGAACUGAGACACGGUCCAGACUCCUACGGGAGGCAGCAGUGGGGAAUAUUGGACAAUGGGCGAAAGCCUGAUCCAGCCAUGCCGCGUGUGUGAAGAGGUCUUCGGAUUGUAAAGCACUUUAAGUUGGGAGGAAGGGUUGUAGCCUAAUACUCUGCAAUUUUGACGUUACCGACAGAAUAAGCACCGGCUAACUCUGUGCCAGCAGCCGCGGUAUUACAGAGGGUCCAAGCGUUAAUCGGAAUUACUGGGCGUAAAGCGCGCGUAGGUGGUUUGUUAAGUUGGAUGUGAAAUCCCCGGGCUCAACCUGGGAACUGCAUUCAAAACUGACUGACUAGAGUAUGGUAGAGGGUGGUGGAAUUUCCUGAGUAGCGGUGAAAUGCGUAGAUAUAGGAAGGAACACCAGUGGCGAAGGCGACC